AGCGAACGCUGGCGGCAGGCUUAACACAUGCAAGUCGAGCGGGCGUAGCAAUACGUCAGCGGCAGACGGGUGAGUAACGCGUGGGAACGUACCUUUUGGUUCGGAACAACACAGGGAAACUUGUGCUAAUACCGGAUAAGCCCUUACGGGAAAAGAUUUAUCGCCGAAAGAUCGGCCCGCGUCUGAUUAGCUAGUUGGUGAGGUAAUGGCUCACCAAGGCGACGAUCAGUAGCUGGUCUGAGAGGAUGAUCAGCCACAUUGGGACUGAGACACGGCCCAACCUCCUACGGGAGGCAGCAGUGGGGAAUAUUGGACAAUGGGCGCAAGCCUGAUCCAGCCAUGCCGCGUGAGUGAUGAAGGCCCUAGGGUUGUAAAGCUCUUUUGUGCGGGAAGAUAAUGACGGUACCGCAAGAAUAAGCCCCGGCUAACUUCGUGCCAGCCGCCGCCGUAACAC
rnacentral:rRNA from 1 species